rnacentral:rRNA from 1 species
UAGGCGAAGUCACUAAUCCCAUGCUGCCAAGAAAAGCCUCUAGCGAGCUUGCACGGUACCCGUACCCCAAACCGACACAGGUGGGCAGGUAGAGAAUACCAAGGCGAUCGGGAGAACUGUGGUUAAGGAACUCGGCAAAAUGCCUCCGUAACUUCGGGAGAAGGAGCACCCCAUCAGGGUGAAGGACCUCGCGUCCGGAGCUCGAAGGGGUGGCACAGACCAGGGGAAAGCGACUGUUUACUAAAAACACAGCAGCGUGCGAAGUCGUAAGACGAUGUAUACGCUGUGACGCCUGCCCAAUGCCGGAAGGUUAAAGGGAAAGGUUAGCCCGCAAGGGCGAAGCUUUGAACUGAAGCCCCGGUGAAUGGCGGCCGUAACUAUAACGGUCCUAAGGUAGCGAAAUUCCUUGUCGGGUAAGUUCCGACCUGCACGAAUGGCGUAACGACUUUCCUACUGUCUCAACCACAGACCCGGCGAAAUUGAAGUACGAGUAAAGAUGCUCGUUAGCUGCAGAAGGACGGAAAGACCCCGUGGACCUUUACUAUAGCUUGAUGUUGAGUUUUGUUAUGUGUUGUGUAGGAUAGGUGGGAGACUUGGAAGCAUUGGCGCCAGCCAGUGUGGAGUCAACCUUGAAAUACCACCCUGCUCAUGACGGAGCUCUAACCCACGUCCCUGAUCGGGAUGGGGAACAGCGUCUGGUGGGUAGUUUGACUGGGGCGGUCGCCUCCUAAAGAGUAACGGAGGCGCCCAAAGGUUCCCUCAGGCUGGUUGGCAAUCAGCCGUCGAGUGCAAUGGCACAAGGGAGCUUGACUGCGAGACCUACAAGUCAAGCAGGUGCGAAAGCAGGGCAUAGUGAUCCGGCGGUUGCGUGUGGAAGCGCCGUCGCUCAACGGAUAAAAGGUACCCCGGGGAUAACAGGCUCAUCUCCCCCAAGAGUCCAUAUCGACGGGAAGGUUUGGCACCUCGAUGUCGGCUCAUCGCAUCCUGGGGCUGAAGCAGGUCCCAAGGGUUGGGCUGUUCGCCCAUUAAAGCGGUACGCGAGCUGGGUUUAGAACGUCGUGAGACAGUUCGGUCCCUAUCCUCUGCAGCCGGAAGGAACUUGAGAAAAUCUGUCCCUAGUACGAGAGGACCUGGAUGGACGCAGCUCUCGUGUGCCAGUUGUCCUGCCAAGGGCACUGCUGGUUAGCGACCUGCGGAAGGGAUAAGCGCUGAAAGCAUCUAAGUGCGAAGCCCAUUUCUAGAUGAGGUUCCUCACUGGGUUAACCAGGUAAGGCCCGUGAUAGACCAACACGUUGAUAGGCCGGAAGUGUAAGCGUGGUAACACGUUCAGCUGACCGGUACUAAUCGGCCGAGGGCUUGGAUC